rnacentral:rRNA from 1 species
UACGUAGGGGGCAAGCGUUGUCCGGAAUCAUUGGGCGUAAAGAGCGUGUAGGCGGCCCGAUAAGUCCGCUGUGAAAGUCCAGGGCUCAACCCUGGGAUGCCGGUGGAUACUGUCGGGCUCGAGUCCGGAAGAGGAGUGUGGAAUUCCUGGUGUAGCGGUGAAAUGCGCAGAUAUCAGGAGGAACACCAAUGGCGAAGGCAGGUCUCUGGGCCACUACUGACGCUGAGAAGCGAAAGCGUGGGGAGCGAACAGG